rnacentral:rRNA from 1 species
CAGCCUGAUGCAGCCAUGCCGCGUGUAUGAAGAAGGCCUUCGGGUUGUAAAGUACUUUCAGCAGUGAGGAAGGUGGUGUCGUUAAUAGCGGCAUCAUUUGACGUUAGCUGCAGAAGAAGCACCGGCUAACUCCGUGCCAGCAGCCGCGGUAAUACGGAGGGUGCGAGCGUUAAUCGGAAUUACUGGGCGUAAAGCGCAUGCAGGUGGUUUGUUAAGUCAGAUGUGAAAGCCCGGGGCUCAACCUCGGAAUUGCAUUUGAAACUGGCAGACUAGAGUACUGUAGAGGGGGGUAGAAUUUCAGGUGUAGCGGUGAAAUGCGUAGAGAUCUGAAGGAAUACCGGUGGCGAAGGCGGCCCCCUGGACAGAUACUGACACUCAGAUGCGAAAGCGUGGGGAGCAAACAGGAUUAGAUACCCUGGUAGUCCACGCCGUAAACGAUGUCUACUUGGAGGUUGUGGCCUUGAGCCGUGGCUUUCGGAGCUAACGCGUUAAGUAGACCGCCUGGGGAGUACGGUCGCAAGAUUAAAACUCAAAUGAAUUGACGGGGGCCCGCACAAGCGGUGGAGCAUGUGGUUUAAUUCGAUGCAACGCGAAGAACCUUACCUACUCUUGACAUC